AACGACUCUCGGCAACGGAUAUCUCGGCUCUCGCAUCGAUGAAGAACGUAGCGAAAUGCGAUACUUGGUGUGAAUUGCAGAAUCCCGUGAACCAUCGAGUCUUUGAACGCAAGUUGCGCCCGAACCUUCCGGCCGAGGGCACGUCUGCCUGGGCGUCACGC
rnacentral:rRNA from 1 species